rnacentral:misc_RNA from 1 species
AACUAACGCUAUUAUUGUUACAGUUUCUGUACUUUAUUGGUAUGAGAAGCUUCUCGUGCAGCACACACAACGUGUGGCCUGUUCUGGUUAAAUUUUGAAACGGAGCCCUCGGG